GCUUACGGCCAUACCAGCCUGAAUACGCCCGAUCUCGUCUGAUCUCGGAAGCUAAGCAGGGUCGGGCCUGGUUAGUACUUGGAUGGGAGACCGCCUGGGAAUACCAGGUGCUGUAUGCU
rnacentral:rRNA from 1 species